rnacentral:tRNA from 1 species
AAAAAAUUAGUUAAAGCUAUAACAUUAAUUUGUCAAAUUAAAAUUAUUUUAUUAAAUAUUUUUUA